AUUCCAUGCUGGAAAUACUAGUUCCCGUCUGAUCCCUGAAGUUAAGCAUCAUAGGUCGGAGUCAAUGCUUAGGAGGGUGAUUACCGGGGAUUACCACGUGC